UUGUGGAAAGGGCAAGGAGCUACAAUAGCUAGUACAAUUGUGAAAAAGGAAAACAGCAUUGGAGGACUCUUGUUAUCUGAGUUAAUAUAAAGCUACAGUAAUCAGGACCGUGUGGUAUUGGCAAAAGGAUAAACACAGAGAUCAAUGGAACAGAAUAAAGAGUACAGAAAUAGAACCACACAUACUUGGUCAAUUCAUUUUUGACAAAGAUGCAAAGGCAAUUCAAUGGAGAAGGCAUAAUUUUUUCAACAAAUUGUGCUGGAAGAACUGGACAUGUAUAUAAAAGGGAAAAAAAGAAGGAGUACAGCUUGCUCUAAAAAGGAACUAAUUGCUGAUACAUGCACAAUACAGAUGAAUCCCAAAUGCAUUAUGCGAAGUGAAAGAAGCCAAACUCAACAGGCUACACACCAUAUGAUUCUAUUUACAUGACAUUUUUAGAAAAUGAAACAAUGAAGACAGAAAACAGAUCAAGAGUUGCCUGGGGACUCAAUCUCCUGACCUCGUGAUCCACUCGCCUAGGCCUCCCACAGUGCUGGGAUUACAGGUGUGAGCCACCGUGCCUAGCCUGGAAUUAUUUUAUAUCUUGAUUGUGGUGAUGGUUAUAUGACUUACACAUUUGCCAAAACUUAUAAAAGUAUACACUAAAAAAGGGUGAAUUUUACUGUAUGUAAGUAGUAACUCAGUAAGUCUGACUUUUAGAAAUUGAUACAUUCCUUUUAUAUUCUUAUUGUGAUUAGCUUCUUAUUUUCACAUGCAUAUAUUACUUAUCAAAGUCUAAAGUUAAUAAAUAUCUGUACUUUUCCCUUUAACAGUAUAAAAACCUCAGAACAUUUUAACUCCAUCUCCCUCCUGAUGUAACAUCUAUUUUUCUUAUGUAUUUUAGUUGUAUCUUUUUAAAAAAACCCACAAGACAUUAUUGUUAAUGUUUUUUAUGUAAUCAGAAUUUGUUAUAUUAGCCAACAGAUUUGUCACUGUCUUUGCUCUUCAUUCCUUGUUGCAUCUCUGACUUUCAAUACUGCAUUCACUUCCAUCUCCCUAAAUUAUAUUCUUUCAAUUUCCACUAGUACAAGCCUGUUUCUGCUGGUGGUAAACUCUUUCAACUUUUAUUUGCCUCAAAAUGUGUUUAUGUCCUGACUUUUGAAAGUUAUCUUGUCAGCACAUUCAAUAUAUUAUUUCAUUGUUUUCUAGCAAUUAUAUCUGCUAUUGAGGAGCCUGUGGACUAUUGAGGAGUCAGUGGUAGAUAGGGCAAGAUCUCCAAACAUAGAAUACCUUAAUGAAGCAGGGGAAAGAAUUCUGUAUUAUCAUUAUUAUUAUUAUUAUUUCAAGACAGAGUCUCACUUACUCUGUUGCCCAGGCUGGAGUGCAGUGCACUAUGUCGACUCACUGCAACCUCUGCCUCCUGGGUUCAAGCGAUUCUCACGUCUCAGCCUCCCAGGUAGCUGGGAUUACAGGUGCCUACCACCAUGCCCGGCUAAUUUUUGUAUUUUUAGUAGAGACGGGGUUUCACCAUUUUGGCCAGGCUGGUCUCGAACUCCUGACCUCAAGUGACCCACCUGCCUCGGCCUCCCAAAGCGCUGGGAUUAUAGGCAUGAGCCACCACGCCUGGCCUUUUUUUUUUUUUUUUUCUUUUUUAACCAUCAUGAGGCACUUUCUUUUCUUUUUUUUUUUUUUUGAGAUGGAGUCUUGCUCUGUCACCCAGGCUGGCACAGUCUCGGCUCACUGCAACCUCUGGCUCCGAGAUUCAAGUGAUUCUCAUGCCUUAGCCUCCCGAGUAGCUGAGAUUACAGGGAUGUACCACCACUCCUGGCUAAUUUUUUGUAUUUUUAGUAAAAACAAGGUUUCGCUAUGUUGGCCAGGCUGGUCUCGAACUGCUGGCCUCAAGUGGUCCACCUGCCUCGGCCUCCCAAAAUGCUGGGAUUGUAGGCAUAAGCCACCACACCGGGCC
rnacentral:lncRNA from 1 species